rnacentral:rRNA from 1 species
CGGACGGGUGAGUAAUGUCUGGGAAACUGCCUGAUGGAGGGGGAUAACUACUGGAAACGGUAGCUAAUACCGCAUAACGUCGCAAGACCAAAGAGGGGGACCUUAGGGCCUCUUGCCAUCGGAUGUGCCCAGAUGGGAUUAGCUAGUAGGUGGGGUAACGGCUCACCUAGGCGACGACCCCUAGCUGGUCUGAGAGGAUGACCAGCCACACUGGAACUGAGACACGGUCCAG